GACGAACGCUGGCGGCGUGCCUAAUACAUGCAAGUAGAACGCACAGUUUAUACCGUAGCUUGCUACACCAUAGACUGUGAGUUGCGAACGGGUGAGUAACGCGUAGGUAACCUGCCUGGUAGCGGGGGAUAACUAUUGGAAACGAUAGCUAAUACCGCAUAAUAUUGAUUAUUGCAUGAUAAUUGAUUGAAAGAUGCUAUUGCAUCACUACCAGAUGGACCUGCGUUGUAUUAGCUAGUAGGUGAGGUAGCGGCUCACCUAGGCGACGAUACAUAGCCGACCUGAGAGGGUGAUCGGCCACACUGGGACUGAGACACGGCCCAGACUCCUACGGGAGGCAGCAGUAGGGAAUCUUCGGCAAUGGACGAAAGGCUGACCGAGCAACGCCGCGUGAGUGAAGAAGGUUUUCGGAUCGUAAAGCUCUGUUGUAAGAGAAGAACGGGUGUGAGAGUGGAAAGUUCACACUGUGACGGUAUCUUACCAGAAAGGGACGGCUAACUACGUG
rnacentral:rRNA from 1 species